GCACAAGCAGCGGAGCGUGUGGUUUAAUUCGUUGCUACACGAAGAACCUUACCUGGGUUUGACAUAUAGGUUGUAGGGAACUGAAAAGGGACCGACCCUUCGGGGAGCCUAUACAGGUGUUUGCAUGGCUGUCGUCAGCUCGUGUCGUGAGAUGUUCGGUUAAGUCCGCUAACGAGCGCAACCCUCGUCGUAUGUUAUAUGUGUCAUACGAGACUGCCGGUAAAAAGCCGGAGGAAGGUGAGGAUGAUGUCAAGUCAGCAUGACCUUUAUAUCCAGGGCUACACACACGCUACAAUGGUCUGUACAAUGGGUAGCCAAGCCGCGAGGCGGAGCCAAUCCUGAAAGCAGGCCUCAGUUCAGAUUGCAGUCUGCAACUCGACUUCGUGAAGCUGGAUUCGCUAGUAAUCGCGCAUCAGCUAUGGCGCGGUGAAUACGUUCCCGGGCCUU
rnacentral:rRNA from 1 species